CCUUAUAUAUAUAGUGGUUAUAGUGGUAACAGAAUGUAAUAACAAACCUGUUGCUUGUCAUAGAGCAUAAAGAAGCAAAUAUAACAAGAGUGCAGGGCUUGGAGUAUAGCGUAGGGUUGCCUCGACCGGACUUCCAAAUUCCAAUGUCGAACAACAACAACACCACCCAACCACCUCCGCCACCAUACCUUCCAUACCGCCAAAAAAAGGUCCUGACCGGACACACACGCGCCGUCUCAUGCGUGAAGUUCUCCAACAACGGUCAACUCUUCGCCUCUUCCUCUUUAGACAGAACCCUAAUCGUCUGGUCAACACAAACCCUAACUCUCCUCUCACGUCUCGUUGGCCACACCGAAGGUGUAUCCGACUUAGCAUGGUCCUCCGAUUCAUCUUACAUUUGCUCCGCUUCAGAUGACCGCACGCUCCGCAUCUGGGACGCACGCGCCGCCGAGUCCGUCAAAACAUUGCGUGGGCACACGGGUUUUGUUUUCUGUGUGAAUUUCAACCCUCAGUCGAACUUAAUUGUCUCGGGUUCAUUUGAUGAGACAAUUAGGGUUUGGGAUGUGAAAACGGGUAAACCUAAUCACGUUAUUAGGGCACAUUCGAUGCCUGUAACAUCGGUGCAUUUUAAUAGAGAUGGGUCAUUGAUUGUUUCGGGCAGUCAUGAUGGGUCUUGUAAGAUAUGGGAUACUGCUACUGGUGUUUGUCUCAAGACACUUAUUGAUGAUAAAGUUCCUGCUGUUUCCUUUGCUAAGUUUUCCCCUAAUGGAAAGUUUAUCCUUGUUGCCACACUUGAUAAUGUUCUUAAGCUGUGGAACUAUUCUACAGGAAAAUAUAUAAAAAAUUACGCAGGCCAUGUGAACAGAGUGUACUGCAUAACUUCCACGUUUUCUGUCACGAAUGGGAAGUAUAUUGUGAGUGGCUCAGAAGAUCGAUGUGUCUACAUAUGGAAUUUGCAAGGGAAAAAUCUGCUGCAGAAACUUGAAGGACAUACUGAUACCGUCAUUUCGGUUUCUUGCCACCCCACAGAAAACAUGAUUGUCUCAGCUGGACUAGAUAAUGACAGGACAGUGAGGGUUUGGGUCCAAGACUAAUGGAUGUCCUCAACUCUGUAUAGGCAGCCUUUGAAUCCAAAGUGGUUCUUUAUCUGGGUAGAUUGAGUUGAAUGUAAUGGAAAGAGUCAUCCAUUCGGUUGUGCUCUAAUUCUCUGUGUUUUGUCCAAGGACAUUCGCUUGCAUUAGCUACUUCGCAUAACUUGGUUAUUGUGGAUAGGUGUAACAGAUUGUAGCGGGACCUGUCUAUUUAUGAAUAGUGCAGCCAUACUCUUGAAGUUGAUGCCAGAAGAUUUUGCGUUAUCAAGUUACAAAAAAACUGGCUACUGUAUUUUCUUUUUUAUAAUAUGUAAGAAACUAGAUGGCGCCAUUCCUGCAGUGUAUUGAGUAGGAGCAGUUGAUGUAGAGAAGUUAAAAUGUAUGAAUAGAAUAUCUUGCAUCAUUCAUAUAAAGAGCCCUCCAGGGGUCUAACAUUUACAGCAAGGGUAAAAAAUUUAAGUUAGUUAUAAAUUAACAUUGAUCUGUC